rnacentral:pre_miRNA from 1 species
AAAGACUCAAUUCCUAGGUUUUGAUGUUUAAUGUUUGACCGUCCGUCUUAUAUGAAAUUUUUUUUAUGAUUAGUAUUUUUAUUAUUGUUAGAUGAUAAAACAUGAAUAAUACUUUAUGCAUAACUUAUCUUUUUAAAUUUUUUUAUAAUUUUUUAUAUAAGUCAAACGGUUAAAUGUUAGACACGGAAACGCAGG